AUUGAACGCUGGCGGCAGGCCUAACACAUGCAAGUCGAGCGGAUGAAGGGAGCUUGCUCCUGGAUUCAGCGGCGGACGGGUGAGUAAUGCCUAGGAAUCUGCCUGGUAGUGGGGGAUAACGUCCGGAAACGGGCGCUAAUACCGCAUACGUCCUGAGGGAGAAAGUGGGGGAUCUUCGGACCUCACGCUAUCAGAUGAGCCUAGGUCGGAUUAGCUAGUUGGUGGGGUAAAGGCCUACCAAGGCGACGAUCCGUAACUGGUCUGAGAGGAUGAUCAGUCACACUGGAACUGAGACACGGUACAGACUCCUACGGGAGGCAGCAGUGGGGAAUAUUGGACCAUGGGCGAAAGCCUGAUCCAGCCAUGCCGCGUGUGUGAAGAAGGUCUUCGGAUUGUAAAGCACUUUAAGUUGGGAGGAAGGGCAGUAAGUUAAUACCUUGCUGUUUUGACGUUACCAACAGAAUAAGCACCGGCUAACUUCGUG
rnacentral:rRNA from 1 species